UACGUAGGGGGCAAGCGUUGUCCGGAUUUAUUGGGCGUAAAGAGCGUGUAGGCGGCCAGGUAGGUCUGGUGUGAAAACUCGAGGCUCAACCUCGAGAGGUCAUCGGAAACCAUUUGGCUAGAGUCCGGAAGAGGAGAGUGGAAUUCCCGGUGUAGCGGUGGAAUGCGCAGAUAUCGGGAAGAACACCUAUGGCGAAGGCAGCUCUCUGGGACGGUACUGACGCUGAGACGCGAAAGCGUGGGGAGCGAACAGG
rnacentral:rRNA from 1 species